AACGAACGCUGGUGGCAUGCCUAAUACAUGCAAGUCGAACGAGAAAGCACUUCGGUGUGAGUACAGUGGCGCGCGGGUGAGUAACGCGUAGGUGACGUGCCUUUAGUUGGGGACAACAUCGUGAAAACGGUGCUAAUACCGAAUAAGCUUAACGACCUUGGAAAAGUUAAGGAAAGGGGGCUUCGGCUCUCGCUGAAAGAUCGGCCUGCGUGACAUUAGCUUGAUGGUGGGGUAACGGCCUACCAUGGCGACGAUGUCUAACUGGUCUGAGAGGAUGAUCAGUCACACUGGAACUGAGACACGGUCCAGACUCCUACGGGAGGCAGCAGUAGGGAAUAUUGCACAAUGGGGGAAACCCUGAUGCAGCAAUGCCACGUGAGUGAGGAAGGCCUUCGGGUUGUAAAGCUCUGUCCUAUAGGAAGAACGGCAUUAUGGUUAAUACCCAUAGUGUUUGACGGUACUAUAGAAGAAAGCACCGGCUAACUCCGUG
rnacentral:rRNA from 1 species